rnacentral:tRNA from 1 species
GGGAAGGUGGCUCCGCGGUAGAGCGCUUGCCUGGCAAGCAUGAGGCCCUAGGUUCGAUUCCUCAGUACCA